rnacentral:rRNA from 1 species
GUGUCGAUCGAUGAUAUAUACGGCCUCGCUGUUUGCAUGUUUGUGCGCUUUGGGUGUACUUUUUCGUAUGGUUGGCCAACAUCAGUUUCGAUCACUAUAAAAUGACUGGCGGAAUGUAGCUUCGAUUUCGGUUGAAGUGUUAUAGCCUCUGGUAGAUGUGGUGAUUGAGACUGAGGAUUGCAACGAAUAUCCUUUGGGCUAUCCGUCUGGCCUCUGAAAGUUGCUUGGGUGCUGAAAGCUUGCUUAUGGUUAUCUAAGUUAACGGUCAAUAGGUUAGAACGUGAUUACAUUCGUUAAGGAUGUUGACGUAA